AGAGUUUGAUCCUGGCUCAGAACGAACGCUGGCGGAGUGCUUAAUACAUGCAAGUCGUGCGAGAACGCGAUCUUCGGAUUGUUAGUAGAGCGGCGAACGGGUGAGUAACACGUAAGUAACCUGCCCCAAAAUCUGGGACAACCUUUCUAACGAGGGGCUAAUACCGGAUGUGAACAUAAUGACUCAUGUUAUAAUGUUUAAAGAUGACCUCUACUUGUAAGUUAUUGUUCUGGGAUGGACUUGCGGACCAUUAGUUUGUUGGUGAGGUAACGGCUCACCAAGACUACGAUGGUUAGCCGACCUGAGAGGGUGAUCGGCCACAUUGGGACUGAGAUACGGCCCAGACUCCUACGGGAGGCAGCAGUAGGGAAUAUUGCGCAAUGGACGAAAGUCUGACGCAGCAACUCCGCGUGAGGGAUGACGGCCUUAGGGUUGUAAACCUCUGUUGAGUGGGAAGAAUGAGAUUUGUGCUAAUCAGCAGAUCUGUGACGGUACCACUCCAGAAAGCUCCGGCUAACUACGUGCCAGCAGCCGCGGUAAUACGUAGGGAGCGAGCGUUGUUCGGAAUCACUGGGCGUAAAGCGAACGUAGGCGGGAAAGUAAGUUAGAAGUGAAAUGUAUCGGCUCAACCGAUGAUCUGCUUUUAAUACUGCUUUUCUUGAGUAUGGAAGAGGAAGAUGGAAUUCCAGGUGUAGCGGUGGAAUGCGUAGAUAUCUGGAAGAACACCAGUUGCGAAGGCGGUCUUCUGGUCCAAUACUGACGCUGAGGUUCGAAAGCUAAGGGAGCGAACAGGAUUAGAUACCCUGGUAGUCUUAGCCGUAAACGAUGGAUACUAGUUGUUGGGGAUGUAUGUCUUCAGUGACGCAGCUAACGCGUUAAGUAUCCCGCCUGGGGAGUACGCUCGCAAGAGUGAAACUCAAAGGAAUUGACGGGGGCCCGCACAAGCGGUGGAGCAUGUGCUUUAAUUCGAUGCAACGCGAAGAACCUUACCUGGUCUUGACAUGUGAAUGCAAUCUUUUAGAGAUAGAAGACCUUCCUUCGGGAACAUUCAACACAGGUGCUGCAUGGUUGUCGUCAGCUCGUGUCGUGAGAUGUUGGGUUAAGUCCCGCAACGAGCGCAACCCUUGUCCUUAGUUGCCAUCAGGUAAUGCUGGGAACUCUAGGGAGACUGCCUGGUUUAACCAGGAGGAAGGUGGGGAUGACGUCAAAUCAUCAUGGCCCUUACGACCAGGGCUAGACACGUGCUACAAUGGGCAGUACAGCGGGAAGCGAAGUCGCGAGGCUAAGCCAAUCCCUUAAAACUGUUCUCAGUUCGGAUAGGAGUCUGCAAUUCGACUCCUUGAAGUUGGAAUCGCUAGUAAUCGCGGAUCAGCAUGCCGCGGUGAAUACGUUCCCGGGCCUUGUACACACCGCCCGUCGAGCAACGAAAGAGGGUAGUACCCAAAGUCGUUCUCCUAACCUUCGGGAGGGAUGCGCCUAAGGUAAGACUCUUAAUUGGGGCUAAGUCGAAACAAGGUA
rnacentral:rRNA from 1 species